CGAGCACGCGCGUGUGGCAUAUCAAUAAGCGGAGGAAAAGAAACUAACAAGGAUUCCCUUAGUAACGGCGAGUGAAGCGGGAAGAGCUCAAAUUUGAAAUCUUCAAGGUUCUACCUUGACGAAUUGUAGUUUAUAGGAAGUGUUUUCUGUUAGUAGGAGUGGCAAAAGUUUUUUGGAAUAGGACAUCAUAGAGGGUGAGAAUCCCGUAUUUGGUCAUUCCUUCUAGCGUUGUGAUACACUUUCAACGAGUCGGAUUGUUUGGGAAUGCAGUCCAAAAUGGGUGGUAAAUUUCAUCUAAAGCUAAAUAUUGGCGAGAGACCGAUAGCGAACAAGUACCGUGAGGGAAAGAUGAAAAGAACUUUGAAAAGAGAGUUAAACAGUACGUGAAAUUGUCAAAAGGGAAGCGUUUGACACCAGUGUUGUUUUUCCGAAAAUCAAUUACGAAUGUUUUGUUUUUGAAGAAGUUAUGACUUCAUCGGCUUGCUUCUUUCUUUACGAAACUUUCUUAAUGCACUUUUCGGUUAACAAGUCAACAUCAAUUUCUUUUGUUGUAAAAGGGUAUCGAGGAAGGUGGCUCUCUUUUCGGAGAAAGUGUUUAUAGCCUUGUGCCUCUGCAAUCGGAGAGAUUGAGGUCUGCAGCGUAGAUCCUUCGGGGUUAGAUACAUUUGUGCUAAGUUAUAGCUUUUCAUAGACAACUUGUUGACUAUGUUUAGUCUUGUAGCUUACUCGCUUAUGCUAUUUUACCUACGCUUAGGAUGUUGAUGUGAUACUGCGAGC
rnacentral:rRNA from 1 species